rnacentral:rRNA from 1 species
CGGCAACGGGGUAGUUAGGCGCAGGUACGUACCCUCAGGUUGGGGAUAGCCAUGGGAAACCGUGGGUAAUACCCAAUGAUCCGCCGUGUUGUAAUGACGUGGCGGCAAAGGUGUGAUUCCGCCGGAGGAGCGGUCUGCGUGGUAUUAGCUUGUUGGUGAGGUAAUGGCUCACCAAGGCGAAGAUGCCUAGGGGGUGUGAGAGCAUGGCCCCCACCACUGGGACUGAGACACUGCCCAGACACCUACGGGUGGCUGCAGUCGAGAAUCUUUGGCAAUGCACGCAAGUGUGACCAAGCGACGCCGAGUGCUGGAUGAAGGCCUUCGGGUUGUAAACAGCUGUCAGAGGGGAUGAAAUUGUUGGGGGCUAUCCCCCUUCAUUGACAGAGCCUCAGAGGAAGCACGGGCUAAGUUCGUGCCAGCAGCCGCGGUAAUACGAACUGUGCGAACGUUAUUCGGAAUCACUGGGCUUAAAGGGUGCGUAGGCGGCCUGUUAAGUAGGGUGUGAAAUUUGUCGGCUCAACCGGCAAACUGCAUUCUAAACUGGCAGGCUUGAGUGAGUCAGGGGUGUGCGGAACUUCCGGUGGAGCGGUGAAAUGCGUUGAUAUCGGAAGGAACGCCGGUGGCGAAAGCGGCACACUGGGGCUUUUCUGACGCUGAGGCACGAAAGCUAGGGGAGCGAACAGGAUUAGAUACCCUGGUAGUCCUAGCUGUAAA